CAGCGCUGCGGCAGAGCGUGAGCAGCGAUGCCGGCAGAAGACGGAAAUACCAGGCGAACGAUGACGAACGUAAAAACUACGCACCAAGCACAAUAACAACACCAAAACACGCCACGAAAAACAAACAAACAAGCAAGUAGAGCGAGCGAGAUACAUUUGGAGAGAAAUACGUAGUGGGGGGAGAGAGAGAGAGAGACAGAGAUAGAAGUGGGAGAGCACCUGCCCCCAAUGUACCGCCCACUCGGCUAACGAGCAAACAAAACUAAACAAAAAUAAAUAGAAACCGAAACAGAAACACAAGAAAGGCAGUGAAAUAGAAAAGCAGGAAAUAUUUCGAACUUAUGAAGUGCGGAGAAAAGAGAAGACUUAGAGCUUUGCAUUUCUAUUAUUAAUAAGUUUUCAGAAAAUCCAUUUGAGUGCACAGACAGUAUU
ensembl:ncRNA lncRNA:CR45354 long non-coding RNA:CR45354